rnacentral:rRNA from 1 species
GACGAACGCUGGCGGCGUGCUUAACACAUGCAAGUCGAACGGAAAGGUCCUGCUUUUGUUGGGUGCUCGAGUGGCGAACGGGUGAGUAACACGUGAGUAACCUGCCCUUGACUUUGGGAUAACUUCAGGAGACUGGGGCUAAUACCGGAUAGGAGCUCCUGCUGCAUGUUGGGGGUUGGAAAGUUUCGGCGGUGGGGGAUGGAUUCGCGGCUUAUCCGCUUGUUGGUGAGGUAGUGGCUGACCAGGGCUUUGACGGGUAGCCGGCCUGGGAGGGUUACCGGCCACAUGGGGACUGAGGUACGGCCCAGACUCCUACGGGAGGCAGCAGUGGGGAAUAUUGCACAAUGGGGGGAAGCCUGAUGCAGCAGCGCCGCGUGCGGGAUGACGGCCUUCGGGUGGUAAACCGCUUUCGCCUGUGACGAAGAGUGAGUGACGGUAAUGGGUAAAGAAGCACCGGCUAACUACGUG